GUGGUAAUGCCGGAUGCUCCAGUAGAUCGCAUGGUCUUCUGGGAAAGCCUUUGCGGCAUGGGAUGGGGUCGCGUCCUAUCAGCUUGAUGGCGGGGUAACGGCCCACCAUGGCUUCGACGGGUAGCCGGCCUGAGAGGGCGACCGGCCACAUUGGGACUGAGAUACGGCCCAGACUCCUACGGGAGGCAGCAGUGGGGAAUAUUGCACAAUGGGCGCAAGCCUGAUGCAGCGACGCCGCGUGAGGGAUGGAGGCCUUCGGGUUGUAAACCUCUUUUGUUAGGGAGCAAGGCAUUUUGUGUUGAGUGUACCUUUCGAAUAAGCACCGGCUAACUACGUGCCAGCAGCCGCGGUAAUACGUAGGGUGCAAGCGUUAUCCGGAAUUAUUGGGCGUAAAGGGCUCGUAGGCGGUUCGUCGCGUCCGGUGUGAAAGUCCAUCGCUUAACGGUGGAUCCGCGCCGGGUACGGGCGGGCUUGAGUGCGGUAGGGGAGACUGGAAUUCCCGGUGUAACGGUGGAAUGUGUAGAUAUCGGGAAAGAACACCA
rnacentral:rRNA from 1 species